GGCUCGAUAGCUCAGUUGGUAGAGCAGGGGACUGAAAAUCCCCGUGUCAGCGGUUCGAUUCCACUUCGAGCCACCA
rnacentral:tRNA from 1 species